UCGCUUUCCCUUUGAUUUUUUGCUGACACUGACUCACUGAGUCCAAAAUUCCACCAGCUCCUUCCUUCAUCAGCCAUGAGCCGUUUCAGGGUAACUGACAUCUUCGACCCUUACUCUCCCUCUCUCUGUGUUAAAGAAACCUCCAUUCUCGCUCACAAGCCCUUAGCUUUUCCCUCAUUUUUCGAAGCAGAACAUGAACUUAGCUCCGCCCUCGACCUACUGAGUCCUUUCCCUUGCUUUAGCCCCUUCGAUAUCUACGACAACGUCACUGAUCUGGUCCAAAUCGAGAGAACGCCGUCGUUUCGUUCGUACAAGAGGGUACAACGCCGAGUCGAACCCGAGUUUUCUA
rnacentral:lncRNA from 1 species